rnacentral:lncRNA from 1 species
UUGAAACCGCCAAAAAAAAAAAAAAUUACAGAAAGUUAACACGUGAAGCCAAAGGGAGAAACCACCCAUUUCGACACUCAAUAAAGAGAAAAUCCUCCCCUCCUAGCUCGGCCGCGCCUCAGUUGGCCGGCAGCACUUCCACCGUCGGUCGUCGUCAUCAUUUCCGGCCACACUUCGAUCGCACCCAUUUUCCCCAAAUUAUGCACUUUCCAUCUCCACCAUUUCGACACUUAGACGGGAGAACGCAGCGAACGAAAAUCAAACAAAAGGUAAACAUUUCUUCUAUCGUUCAACAACAACAACAACUUCUUAGGUACUGUAUUCAUCACACUGUACAAAGAUGUAUCACUACGAUUCAAAAUAAGUGCCUGGUUCCUUUCUAGGUAGAAUUGUGUUUCUAUUUCCAAAGGUUGUACAAAAAUUAGAUGGCAUCUCAGAAUUCUUUUACUAGUGUUUAAUUGAAGAUGGUUUCUAGUUCAAAGCAUGCUUUUAUGGUGGAUGCAGAUUGGUUACAUUGUUUAAACAUCAUUUGAACUUUUCUUUGAGUAUAAUUUGAGGGUUUUCUGUACCCCUUCUUACCUUGAAGAAGCGGGAGAACCCAAUAAUGUCUUUUUGGCUAAUCUUGUCCUUUGAAUUUAGAGUUUAGAUGUAAAACCAGAAGGUAAAAGAGAGAAUAUAAACUUUGAUUCGUGAUUUAUUUACACACGACUGAAUUGCUUUACUUGCCAAUCAGAAUAGUAUAGCGUCAUGUAGAGGUGGUGACCUGAAUGGUAAUUGAACUAGAAAAAAAAUGGUUGAAAUUGGCUUCAAAGUUUGAUCAAUUAUGAAGGAAGAUAUUGAAGUUUUGUGCUUUUCGACAGUGCAAGAAACCCUCUCAUCUAUUUCUUUUUAAUGUCUUCUAGGUAGGACAAGAAGUCAAUUCGGCUAUACACGCAAGAUUGUAGAGGAGAGCUUUGUUCAUCACGUCUAAGUUAUGGUGCAGAACAUCUCCUGGGGUUUAAAACGACUAUUGUUUAACUAGAUGUUUAUUCUGCAAGUUAGAAGAUAAGUUAUAGAUGUUUCUAACAGAGUGUGAUUUUAUGGUGAAUGUAAGGUGCAAUGAGUUGACUCCUGAAAGAGUUCGCCUAGCCUAUUGAAGAAAAGAGGAAAUUUGGAAGAACGAAAUGAAAUUCUCGUUUAAUCAAUCUGAUUAUCAGUACAAUGGUGAGCUUAAAUAGAAUUGGUUAACUGAUUCUAACAAUCAACUAACUAACUAACUUGACAACUGUACACAACUAAUUUCUAGCUAAAUUUGGCGCCUAAAUCAUCUUGAGCUGAGCUGGUUGUUCUGUUGGCUGAUCUACUGAGCUGCCUGAUGCUCAUUUAUUCUAAUACAGCCCUCCAAAAUACACUUCAAGAACUGAAACUUGACUACCUUGAUCUCUAUUUGGUGUUUUUCUUAUACAUAUUUGUUUCCUUCAAAUAUGCUAUAAAGUUACCUGUUAAAGUGUCAUUUUCUCUAUUGAUAUGUAAGAUCCAUUGGCCAUUCCACUUGAAAGAUGAAGCCAAUAGACCUCCAAAAGUAGGGAACAUUUUGGAUUUCGACAUGGAAGGAGUUUGGGAGGAAAAUGGAGAAACUUGUGAAUGACAAUCUUGUUAGAGACAUUGGAGUUUGCAAUUUCACACUAAAGAAACUGCAUAAGUUACUAAGUGUUGCUAAGAUAAAGCCUUCUGUAUGCCAAGUCUGAAUUUUGGAUUCUACGUGAUCGUUUUUUAAUUGCAACGGAAAUCUCAUAUAAUAUAUUUUAUGUUGUUUUUUGUUUUUAGAUGGAGAUGCAUUUGGGAUGGAGGAAUGACAAAAUGGUGGAGGCCUGUAAGAAAAAUGGAAUCCAUGUUAUGGUAAUACAUGUCCAUACCAUAGUUUUGGACAUUGAGGAGUUAUUUAGUUUGGAGUUAAGAAAUAUUAUAUUGAUGAUAUGUCUUUUGCCUCCUGCAGAAACGAGUAUUGAAAAAGCUAACAGUGAUAGCUUGUUCGCGAACAAGCGAUAGGGACCUUACAUGAAUGUGGCUGAUACUUGGGACCACGAAGAUUAUGAUAUCGAUAGUCUAUAGUAACUGAGCAGCUAGCAAUGGUCAAUCUUGAAUCUUUAUGCACUGUUUGAUCUCUCAGGGCUUGUUUUAUCAGUUUAUGUAUAUUGUGUCAUAAUAGUACUUGUUCACAUCUGCAAUAGUUCGAUCUCUUAGGUUUGUUUUAUCAUUUUAUGUAUGUUCUUACUAUCAUAAUGGUACUUAUUCUCAUCUGCAAUAGAGUCUAUUUGACAUAGACAGUGUAGUCAAUUAUAUAUCCUACAAAUUUUAUUCCAAUCCUUCUUUUUGUAUCAAACAAUUUAAAAGGCAUAAACCAUUAUGAAAUGCCAAACAAAUUGUUUAAGAUCUAGUAAAAUUUAACUCUCUUUUCUAAAGCCAACUCCAAUUGAAACAUACAUAGGGCUACAAUUGCUCCAGGCUGAGGGAUUGAAGAGGCCACCACCAUUGAUGGACUAAAACUCCUCUUGCUAUAAGGGAAGUAUACAAAUCCAAGCAUUGCCCAUAUGUUUUAUGGUACUUGCUGUCCCUCUCACUGGGGCAGCAUUUCUGCUACCUAUUGUAAUGACAUUUAAGAAAGUUUUAAUCGAUGAAGCAUAUUGCUCCCAUCUCGAUCAACCUUGGAAUCGGAUCAAAUUCAGUCCUUCAACGUCCAUCUUCAUUACCAAAUAGUCACUCUCUGACACUAUAUUCUUCAACCAUUCUGCGAAAUCAAAUCCUUGAAUCUCACCCACAUCACCAAAGGAUGCAGAAUCACGCAAAGACUGAACUAGUCGAAUCGUCCCAAUCCCUCAGCCUUUUUCUGCAUUUUUACGAACUGGGCCUUGAGAAAAACCCGUAUUAAGAUACAAUAAAUCUAAGUUAAGCUAGUAACACAUCGGCAAAAGUAUACGGAAAUUGAGAUUUUUGGGUUAUUUUACGGACAUCAAGAAUAUUGGUAAUGACUUUUUACACACACUAUAGGAACUGCAGGCUCCAGGUUUGUGAACUAUACACCUUCACUAUGGAGAUUCAGUUGUUCAAACAAUAAUUUGUGUUUGUGGAUCUGUAAAUCUUUGCAUAGUGUGAUGAAUACUGUACCUAAGAAGUUGCUGUUGUUGAACGACAGAAGAAAUUUGCACCUUUUGUUUGAUUUUCCUUUGCCGUGCUUUCCCGUCUAAGUGUCCAAAUGGUGGAGAUGGAAAGUGCGUAAUUUGGGGCAAAUGGGUGCGAUCGAAGUGUGGCCGAAAAUGUUGACGGCCGAUGUUGGAAGUGCUGCCCUCCGACUGAGGCGACGGCCGAGCUUGGAGGGGAGGAUUUUCUCCUUAUUGAGUGUAAAUGGGUGCUUUCUCCCUUUGGCUUCACGUGUUAACUUUCUA